CCUACAAGUGGCACUCCAUCAGAUGCGUACGCACAAAAUGUUACCACCGACUGUGUCAACUUUAACAAUAAAAUUAUAACCCUACACCCAAAUUUUAACAUAUAUUUUGUUGUUUACAAAAAUAAAGCGUUCGAUGAAAAUACACAAAACUAUAUUAACAUUAUCGAUUUUAACAUAAAUUUAAAAAUAUUAGAAGAAUAUUUUUUAGAAAGUUUAAUAAAUAAAUUGUGUAAAAAUACAAAUGAAAAAAGAAGUAUGUUAAUACAUAAUAUUCAUAAUUUGAAUAACCAAAUACUUGAAAAGGAGAGUGAAAUAUUAUACAUUUUGAAUAAUAAAGAAGAUAUAUUGAACGAUAAUGACAUUGUUAUAAAAUUCGAAAAUGCUAACAACUUAUUUCAUGAAAAUAAAAAAAAAAUUAAAGAAUUUAAAAUAAAUAAAAAAGAAAUAAUGAAAAUUAGAAAUAAUUAUAUUAGUUUAUCUAAACACAUUUCAAUUAUAUAUCAUUGUAUUAGUAAAUUAAUUUUAUUAAAUCCUUUUUAUAAUUUUUCAAUUUUAUAUUUUGUUCAUUUAUUAAAUAAAAGUAUAGAUAAAACAGAAGAAAAUAAAUUAUUAGAAAAAAGAAAAAAAGAUAUACUAAACAUUUUUACCAAAAAAAUACAUUAUGAUAUCUCAAGGACGUUAUCAGAAAAACAUCAACACAUCUUCUUUUUCUAUCUAGUAUGUAUGUUAAAUAUAUAUAAAAAAGAAAUAAAUUAUGAAGAUUAUUAUUUUUUGGUACAUACUGAAUAUCCCAUGUUUAGAAAUGGAAAAUCAAAAAAUGAAGUUAUACAAAUGAUGCAGGAAAAAAAAAUGCGCAUCUUAAAACAUGAGAAAAAGGGGUCUACCCGCACGGUAAUUCGACCAAGUUCUCAAUCAAAUACAACUACACUGAAUGACAUAAACCAACAAAAUAUUCAAUUAGAAAAGGAAAAAACAGAAAAAAACAUGAUAUUAGAAAGAGAAAAAAGCCAAAGAGUUAUCUCUUUCGAUUUGAAUGGAGACAUAAAAACGGAUAAUGGAAGCGAAGAAUAUGAUAGUUCACCAAUAGAUGAUAGUGACGAUGAUAGUGACAAUGAUAGUGACAAUGAUAGUGACAAUGAUAGUGACAAUGAUAGUGACAAUGAUAAUAAUGUUGAACAUACUUUUUCUUCUUCUAGUUAUGAAUUUGAUAGCGAACAAGACGGAUGUAUAAAAAAUGAGACGUGUAUAGGAAUGCUGAAUAGUCGUAACGGGGAAGACAAUGGAAAUGGUAACUUAAACGAUAGCAAAGACAACAAUCGGAUACAACAAAUUAAUAAAUACAAAAAGGCAAGCAUCGAAUAUUUGGUACUUCCGAAAAUAAUGGAGGAGGAUGACUUUAUGAAUAGUUUUGAGGAUACCAUAAUAAAAGACAUGAUGUACGGAAAGGAGAGUGGAUGGAACAGUAGCAAUACACAUGGUAAUAAUAAUAUCGGAAAAUUACCCUUUUCGUUCGAUUUUGAAACGAAAGAUCUGUUAUGGGUAAGCAUAAACGAAUAUAUGGAGGUUAAAAAGUUGAUAGAAAAGAGAAAAUAUUAUUUAUUUUUUAGAUUAGCUUUUAAUGAGUAUGAACAUAUUUUUAGAAAUAUAAAAAUUGAUCAUACAAUAUUAGAACAUAAAAAUUUAAAAAACUUAUUAACUGAUUUUGAGAAAUUAAUUAUCUAUAAAAUUUUUCGUUUUGAUAUAUUAAAAUUAAAUGUAAAUAGUUAUGUAUAUAGUUAUUUAAAUAUUUCGACACAAAAUUAUUCAAAAGAUUUGUAUAAAUGUUAUAAACAUUCAGCAAAAAAUAAAAUAAUAUUAUUACGUUCAGAACUCCGUUUUAAUGCUGCUAGUGAAAUUAUGUUAUUAAAUGAAAAAAUAACUGGUAAAAAUAACCUAAU
ensembl:lncRNA